CCGCCGCCACGCCACACCAUCUCGGCCAAGGACAAGGCUCCGGCUGCCGCCACCGCCUCUGCCCCGGCUAUAAAGCCGCGCCCUUUGGCCGGUCCGCUCCUCCUCCUCCUCCUCUCUUCGUCCGGGCCGCGCCCCUCGCCUGCUCGCCGUGCUCUGCCCGGUCCGCUCCUCCUCCUCUUCGUCCGGGCGGUGCCUCUCUCCUCCGGCGCCCCGCCGCGCUCUGGCCGGUCCGCUGCUCCUCCACCCUUCGCCCGAGCCGUGCAUAUGUCCUCCUCGAGCCGGGUUUUAUCUUGCUCGCCAUCCUCGAUCGAUUUGCCCGUCUAGAAUCGUGUCUGGAUUUGAUUUUGCUCGUCCUCGGUCGAUUUGUCCGUUCAGGGUCGCGUCCGGAUUUGAUUUUGCUCGCCGUCACCGUCGCCUUCGCCGGUUUAGAUAGCUAGAGAACCCCGCCUAAUUUGAUUUUGCUCGUUCUCGCCGUCGUCCGUUUAGAACCGCGUCCACUCGCGCUGAAUUCGUCAGUUUAGAACCGCUCCCGAGUUGAUUUUGCGCGUCCCCGCCAUCGUCAGUUUAGAGUCGCUCGCUUCUGAUUUGAUUCUGCUUGUCCUCGCUGUCGCCCGUUUUUGCUCGUCCUAGCCGUUGCCCCGACGCGCUCGCGUGUUCUUGGUCCGUCUCGUCGAGGGUCUCCUUCUGGUUUGCGAUUCAGAAAUUUCUGCGUGUGCUUCUGUUGUCUGAGAGACGCUUUGGAUCCUGCGUUUCUUUGUGUUCGUGUCAGCGCGAGCGUUACAGGAACGGUCGGGUCUUGGUUUUGAAUUUGGGUUGCGGCCGGAGAUGGAGAGGCGGAGAGCACUUGUCAGUUUGUCGUGCUAGUUCAGAUCGGUUCAUAGGCUCCUGCGGUUGUUCGUCGGUUGUUUUCUGAUCUCAAACGGCUAGCUUGUUCGUGUACUCUGGUUCCUAUGUCGAUUCUGAUUGUACCAGCUAGCUUGCUUCACUUUCGUCAGGCUAGAUGCAGGGGUGAUUUUGUUCUGAUGGGUGUUAAUUUCUCUUCUUUUCAAUUGGUUGGUUACUUCCUAUCAUCCUCUGUUUAUGUUCCCACAUAUGCUGAUGUGUGUUGAGGGGUGCAAACCAUGUAGGCCGUGGGUGCCAUUUCGAGCAGGCAGGCAUAGCAGAAAGUUUUAGAAGAGUGCAAAUCAUGUGGCUUGCUGCUUGACUAAUGGAACACCUGCUGCUGCUACUGUAGGACAAGGUUUCCUUCUUUUAUUCCUCGUGUCCAUAUUCAUACAGGAGUACUAGAUGAGGUGCUGCUAGUCCUUUGACUUCGUUCUAGAUUGCAUAACAUGACUUCAGAAUUUUUUCAUUGCACACCUGGGCAUAUGGUUCUGCUGUGAGCAUAACUCCAGAGUUUAUUUAUCUGUGAAAGCACGCUCAUCACAUGUUUCUUAUCAAUGCUGCUCACUUUUGUCAUGUCCCUUUUGUUUGUCCUGUUAAAUUUUAUGGAGCAAAUUUUGUACUCACUCUAGUUAAAAUAUCAAGAACGCUGACUUCUGUAUUUGUCGCUAUGUAAGCCAUGCACUUGGGAAGCCUGGGCGUGAUUAGGAUUUGGAUUGCAUAUAGAUUUUAUGCUAUGCUUGUUUAUAACCUGAUUGUGACCUAAUAUAGUGUAAAUCUGCUAAUUUUUUUAAUUUAAUUUAUGUUAAACGCAAGUAGGUUUUGUUUGCAAGUGGUAUUUCUUUUGUGUGUGUAUGAACAUUCACCGCUGUCAAUUUUUCUUAUCAUAAUCAUUUACCGUGGUGUUCAACAAUACAUUUCUACUGUUCUUUGUUCCCUUUGAGGUUCACUGACUCAAUUAUGCAUGAGAUAUGAUAUCAAUUACUGCUUUGUGACAAGAAUAAGCAUGUGUCUUUCUGUCUACAAACUUGUGGUUAGUGCCGUAGUGAUGAUGAUCUAACUAGCUUCCUGUUUUCAGGAAUGAAGAUCUGAAUUACCCUCAACCCUCUACAGAAAUCAGUUUACUCAUUCAGUUUCUAGAACUUCUUUAUAGCUUUCUGAGUUUACUUCGGUCUUGCAUGGAUUAGCUUUCUGUUUGUACCCCUAUCUAUUUCUGUUUCUUUGUGUGUUUCUUAUGUGCAAGUGCUCCAUUGUGUGUGUCUUGACUGUGUGUCUGACUGUGUGUGUGUGAUGUGCCCCUAUCUAUGUAUGUUUCUUUGUCUGUUUCAUGUGUGCAAGCACUCCACUGUCUGUGUGUGACUGUGUUUGACUGCUUAGAUGGGGUGAUUCUGAUUGUGUUACUGCUUAUAUGGUCUGCCCAAUUGGUUUCUUCUUCAUGCUUUGCUUGUGUUCCAGUGUCGUCUCCCCAUGUAUGGGGAUGUGUUGAGGGAUGCAAACCAUGUAGGCCGUUUCGAGCAGGCACGAAUCCAGAGACACUGGUCAGGCUUCUCUCCUGCUGAUAGAUGAUGAUAGGCUAAGCGGAAAAGUUUGAUUCUUGUAACACUCACUUGCUUGGCUUCCACUCCUUUGCGUGGCCGAUUUGGCAUCCAAUGCAUCUCAUGCCCUUUCCUGUUUAUCUCACUCACUCAUCACAGCAUCCUUUUCCCUGUUUUUGUUCCUUAUUUUUCUUAUCAUAAUAAUCAUGUUUACCGUGGUGUUUGACAAUACAUUUUUUGUGAUAUCUGUGUUUCCUUAUGUCUUAUGUGGAUAUCAUAUUCUUUUUUUGUAUUACUGAUGUCCAAUCACUGGAAUAAUGCUUUUCUAAGUAUUUCAAGUAGGAUAUAGACAAAUGUCACAUCUGCUCUUCCUUGCAUUGCUAAGGACACUGAUGGGUUGGGUUUGCUUACAGCCAGGACCGAUAAUUCUGAUAGUAUGCCAAGGACUGCUCAGGGUUCCUAUCGCUUUUUGUUUUACCAACUAAGGUAAUCGAAUUUUGAUCUUCAGCUUGCAAAUUUAUCACCUUAUUGGAGGGAAAGGUUUGCAUGUACAUGAGCUCUGAUUAUCUACAUACUUGAAUUGCUUUGGAUUUGUUGGACUGCUUUUCUACAUGAUGUUCUCCAUGAUUCACUUGAUCUGUUAAUUUGACUAUUUUCCUGGUGAGUUCUUUAGGUUCAUCUUGUGAUACAAAAUUCAAUUUUGGUACGCGCAUACUCUGAAAUUUGGUGAUAAAGAAAAGGUACCUCCUAGUUUGGUCUCGGGCUCUCUUACACUUGUGUUUGUUUAUAUAACAGUAGUGGCCUCCUGGCUUGUAGUUGGGUAAUGCAGAGAGAGGUUUGGAAUUGAAGAACUAAAAUAAUGCAAAGUUGAAGGUUUUGAACGGGAAGCUUGAACAAAUAGUUUACUUUUUCUCAUGUCUAUGUUUGUUUUUUGCGUGCAAGCACUCCAUUGUGUCUGUGUGACUGUGUGUGUGACCUUGACUGUGUGUGUGUGACUGAGUGUUUGUGUGUGUGACUGACUGCGUGUGUGUUUCUUUGUCUGUUUUUUGUUGUAAGCUCCAUUGUGUGUGUGUUGACUGUGAUUGUGUAUUGACUGCGACUGUGUGUAUGUGUGCAUGUGUGUGUUGACUGUGACUGUAUAUUGACUGUGACUGUGUGUAUGUGUGUAUGUGUGUGUUGACUGUGACUGUGUAUUGACUGCGACUGUGUAUGUGUGUAUGUGUGUGUUGAUUGUGACUGUGUAUUGACUUCGACUGUGUGUAUGUGUGUUGACUGUGACUGUGUGUCAUUGUGCAAGCACUCCAUAACAACCUAUUGGCACCUGAUACUGCAUGGAUAUUUCAAUAUAAGGUCAUGGGCAUGUCAUUUUAUGACCUACAUACCUCUGUAGUUGGUAGUAUCAUUGCCCUUUGGACACUCUUCAAUGCAUUGCUGUAUAUUUUCCUGCCACAAGUAUGAUGUUUGUGCUCAGAAUGAUGUAUAUGUAGAAUCCAGGGGUGGUCUUUGGACGUUUUUCUGUAUAUGCAAGUGUGGUGAGCUCACAUAUAGUGUCAGUAUCUACCUAUGCAGCUGAAUAUUUCCAGAUAGGACAGAAGUGCAAUGUUUACACUCCUGACUUUGUCAUAUAGUUCUUUAACACUGAACUCAUCAAAGCUCCUUGGACUCAAGAGGAAGAUGACGAAAUUAUUGACCUUGUAAACAAGUAUGGACUAACAAACUGGUCUCGUUGCAAGGUCAGCUACCAGAACUUCCUGCUUCUGAUCCUGUGAUGUUUCCGAACAUGCUCCCGAACAUGUCCAGUUUAUCCCCCUAGGACAGAAUAAACCCACCUGUGAUCUAUCACGCUUCUUUCUUCCCUUUGCAUCGAUCCACUUGCAAUGACACAGCAGGCUACUCGGCAUGCUCGGCGUGUUUACUUCUGUGGACUUCCUCCGAUCGCUAAUGAACAGACGGUUGCUCUAUUCUUCAAUCAAGUUAUGGCUACUAUCGGGGGAAACACAUUUGGUCUAGGUGGCAUAAUCAUCUGAAUCCAAACAUAUGGAACGAUGCUUGGACUACUGAGGAGGAACAUGCACUGAUUAAUGCCAUCAGGGUGGAUGGAG